GGCUUAUUGAAAAUAAUUUUAGGUCUAUCUGCCCAAUGAUUGAAAAUUUAAUGGCUGCAGUAUAACUGACUGUACAAAGGUAGCAUAAUCAAUUGUUUUUUAAUUGAAAACUUGUAUGAAAGAAUUAAUGAGAUAUAUACUGUCUCAUAUAUAUUUUAUUAAUUUAAAUUUUUAGUAAAAAUGCUUAAAUUAAUUUAUGGGACGAUAAGACCCUAUAGAAUUUUAUAUUUAUAUUUUGAUUUUAAGAUUUUGAGUAUAAAUAUUUAGUUGGGAGGAUUGGUAAAUUUAAUAAACUUUAUUUUGAAUUUAAACUUUGAUUUAAGAAUUAAUUAUGAUCUUGUAUUAUGAAUUAUAAGAAUAAAUUACCUUAGGGAUAACAGCGUAAUAUCUUUUUUAAGAUCAAAUUUAUAAAGAUGAUUGCGACCUCGAUGUUGAAUUAAGAUAAAUUUUAAAUGAAGAAGUUUAAUAAUUAAGUCUGUUCGACUUUUAAAAUCUU
rnacentral:rRNA from 1 species